rnacentral:tRNA from 1 species
GACCGCCUAGCGAAAUGGCAUCGCGUUUGACUACGAAUCAGGAGAUUGCAGGUUCAACCCUGUGGUGAUCA